rnacentral:rRNA from 1 species
GAAGGCAUCUAAGCGUGAAACUUCCCUCGAGAUCAGUAUUCCCACUCUUCGGAGGUAAGGCCCCACGUAGACUAUGUGGUUGAUAGGUCAGGAGUGGAAGCGCAGUAAUGCGUGCAGCGGACUGAUACUAAUAGGCCGAGGGCUUGACCUA